AUGACCUGCUGUAAGGGUCGACAGGGGAAAACAGGAGAACAAGGGGCUCCAGGACCACCGGGUCCACCUGGAACUUGUGAUGCUGAAGCUGUCAAGGGGAUGAAGGGUGACCCGGGUGUUGCAGGAAAGGAUGGACUGAAGGGCGAUAAAGGGGAUCCUGGUUUGCCUGGCCUGGAGGGAGCCAGUGGAAUAAAGGGGCAAAAGGGUGAGGAAGGCCCCAGAGGACCAUCGGGCCCUGUGAGUACUAUACUGGUUCAGUCAGAGGCUCUGACGCAUACAGAUAUAUCACAUAAUAACACACAUGAGGCACUACAUUUUAUAGAGUGUCCGUUUAAACAGGAAACUUGCAGGUCUUUGAUAGACGCAUCGAUCUUCAUGCCAUGA
ensembl:lncRNA